CGAACGGGUGAGUAACACGUGAGCAACCUGCCCUAUACAACGGGAUAACACAGAGAAAUUUGUGCUAAUACGGUAUAAGACCACAGUAUCGCAUGAUACAGGGGUAAAAGAUUUAUCGGUAUAGGAUGGGCUCGCGACCCAUUAGCUAGUUGGUGAGGUAACGGCCCACCAAGGCAACGAUGGGUAGCCGACCUGAGAGGGUGAUCGGCCACACUGGGACUGAGACGCGGCCCAGACUCCUACGGAAGGCAGCAG
rnacentral:rRNA from 1 species